UGGGGAAUAUUGCACAAUGGGCGGAAGCCUGAUGCAGCGACGCCGCGUGGGGGAUGAAGGCCUUCGGGUUGUAAACCCCUUUCACCAGGAGCGAAACUGACGGUACCUGGGGAAGAAGCGCCGGCUAACUACGUGCCAGCAGCCGCGGUAAUACGUAGGGCGCAAGCGUUGUCCGGAUUUAUUGGGCGUAAAGAGCUCGUAGGCGGCCUGUUGCGUCCGCUGUGAAAUCCCGGGGCUUAACCCCGGGCCUGCAGUGGAUACGGGCAGGCUAGAGGCAGGCAGGGGAGAACGGAAUUCCUGGUGUAGCGGUGAAAUGCGCAGAUAUCAGGAGGAACACCGGUGGCGAAGGCGGUUCUCUGGGCCUGUUCUGACGCUGAGGAGCGAAAGCGUGGGGAGCGAACAGGAUUAGAUACCCCCGUAGUCC
rnacentral:rRNA from 1 species